UUUUAUCAGGGUUUUAUAUUUAACAGUACAACAUACCCGGAGCACGAUAAAAUAUUAGUCAGUGUUGAGAGCAUGCUUCUUAAAAUAAUGCCUUAAACUUCUAGCAUAAUAAUAAUUAUGGGAAAUACAUUCAUGUGGAAUUACGUCAUUCAUUUUUAGCUCACCUGUCACAAAGUGACAGGGUGAGCUUUUGUGAUCGCUUUUCGUCCGGCGUCCGGCCGUCCAUCGUCCGUCCGUAAACUUUUGCUUUAAAUGACAUCUCCUCAUAAACCACUGAGCCAAUUUCAUCCAAACUUCACCGUGUGUUCCUUUAAAAAGUGUUCAAAGAAUUUAAUUCCAUGCAGAACUCUGGUUGCCAUGGCAACCGAAAGAAAAAUCUUUAAAUAUCUUCUUUUAAACAACCCUAAGAGCUAGAGCUUAGAUAUUUGGCAUGAAACAUCUUCUAAUGAGUGUCUACCAAGUUUGUUCAAAUAAAAGCCCUGGGGUCAAAAUUGGCCCCACCCCAGGGGGUCAUUGAUUUUCCCUAUAUGCAUAUAGUAAAAACUUAAAAAAUCUUCUUUUACAGAACCCAAAGAGCUAGAGCUAAGAUAUUUGGCAUGAAACAUCUUCUAGUGAGUGUCUACCAAGUUUGUUCAAAUAAAAGCCCUUGGGGUCAAAAUUGGCCCUGCCCCAGGGGGUCAUAGAUUUUCCCUAUAUGCAUAUAGUAAAAACUUAAAAAAUCUUCUUUUAAAGAACCCAAGGAGUUAGAGCUAAGAUAUUUAGCAUGAAACAUCUUCUAAUGAGUGUCUACCAAGUUUGUUCAAAUAAAAGCCCUGGGGUCAAAAUUGGCCCCGCCCCAGGGGGUCAUUGAUUUUCCCUAUAUGCAUAUAGUAAAAACUUAAAAAAUCUUCUUUCAAAGAACUCAAAGAGCUAGAGCUUAGAUAUUUAGCAUGAAACAUGUUCUAAUGAGUGUCUACCAAGUAUGUUCAAAUAAAAGCCCUGGGGUCAAAACUGGCCCCGCCC